CGUAAAGCGCAUGCAGGCGGCCUGUUAAGUCAGAUGUGAAAGACCCGGGGCGUUAACCUCGGAAUUGCAUUUGUAAACUAGGCAGGCUAGAGUCUUGUAGAGGGGGGUAGGAAGUUUCAGGUGUAGCGGUGAAAUAGCGUAGAGAUCUGAAGGAAUACCAGUGGCGAAGGCGGCCCCCUCGGACAAAGACUGACGCUCAGAUGCGAAAGCGUGGGGAGCAAACAGGAUUAGAUACCCUGGUAG
rnacentral:rRNA from 1 species